CCGAUUUGGUCUCUAACACAGCAGGCCAGGAAUUUCACCCCUCACCUUGAGAAAGACACAGACAUCUGCUUUCUCAUUUUCCUGGUAUUCUCCUGGAGGUGUCUAAGUAGAGAGCAGGAUAAGCAUAUAAACUGUGUAUCCAGAGAAAGAGACAGACCAGCAGAGAUCUUUAUUUGCACAGAGAGGAUUCGAGCCAGAUAUCUUCAUGCAUACAUUUGGGCUUUAUCCACAAGAACAUGUGCUGAAACAGUGCAUGGAGCCUGCCCACAACCCCAGAACCACAAGGCCAGGCAUGUGCACGCACCUACACCGCGCGCGCGCACACACACACAAACACACACGCUUCCAGUAAGGCACAUCGAAUAUCUCUUUUAUAUAUUGGAGCCUCUGAAAACAAGAAUUUCAGAGUUGAACUUAGCAGUGAACCCAGUCCAUAGAGGACGCUGAGCGAAGAGUGGCUCCCGUGGCCUCCCCAUCACAAAUGUCCCUUUGAAAAAAAGAGCGGAGCGCGCAGCCCGGGGCUUCUGUACGGGGCUAGAGGAUCUGUUUUCCAUUUUCCUUUAGUAUGAUGAAAUGCUCCGUCCUUUCCUCCACACACCAACAUCACAGUUAGAGACCGAAGGGUCAUAUUCCUAUUCAUUCCUCUUGACUUCCUGUCAACCGCAGUCCAGCUCCAUCAUCCGUCCGCGAAGCCCCGGGCGGAGCGAGGUGUGGCUGCGUGGUGGGGGGUGAGCGAGCGCCCGGCCUGAGGAUUUCAGCCCCUGGCUUUCUAGGGCGGGAUCGCUUCACCGCCUCUGAGAUGUAAUUACGCUUCCAGUAGUGCAUAUUCUCCUGGAGUGCUUAAUUUGCUUUUAUUUGUGUCUCAGUGAGAUCCACAUUUUUUUUUCCGGGUGAGGAGGGAGAAGCGACCCCAGGCUUAAAGUUAGUUAACCAACAAGGCUUUACUUUGAGCCUCCUGCCUCAGGCUCUCUCCUCGAGCCUCGGUCCCCACUCCCGAGGCGCCCCACUCUUGGAGUCGGCAGUUUCAGGUGCAGAAGGUCUUGGGGGAACCGAGGGAAAAAGAGUGAGGGAUCGUUCAGAGCCUGCGGACGCUUCUCCAGUGCUUUCAACGCCCUGAGUCCUGAACUUUCGCUGCAGCCUUCCCACUCUCUCUAGUCUCUUGGGGGCCUACAUCUUCGGCCGGUCUUCCUUGAAGGAAGGGGACUUUUCCCUCUCUUUCCACCAGUCGCUAAAUUUUGGCCGCACAGCACCGCUAAUAAAUGGAAUUGUAAAUUGUAAAUUUGCUGGGUUAAUUAAAUCUAUAUCUCACUGCAAUAGGAAUAGUUAAUAUAAACCUGGAAAAGAACAUACUAUUAAUUUUAUUUAUUGCUGGGCCGCCCGUACCCAGAGCCUUUCGCUAUUCUGCCCCUUAUUCCCAAAGGCUGGAGGGACUCGUCUGUCUUUGGGUUCUGGAGCGGGGAAGACGCGUUGGGCUAGACCAUUCCCCGUACCCUAGAGUGAGUCCUAGGAAUGGGGUUGCCAUUUCAGGCCCUUUGUUUCUCCCGGCUGCCCCCCAUAGCCUGGUCCACCUCGCCCGGGGGUUCUCUGCAGGGACUCGGACCCCGCACUUCAGAGGAGGGGAAACCAGGGCCUCUCACCACCCCAACACCUGCCUCUCGGAAAGCGG
ensembl:lncRNA